rnacentral:miRNA from 1 species
CAACAGAAAUUUAUUUUCUCACAGUUCUGGAGGCUGGGAAGUCCAAGAUCAAGGUAUUGGCAGGGUUGGGUUCUUCUGAGGUCUCUCUCCUUGGCUUGUAAAUGUUCACCUUCUCACUGUGCCUUCACAUGGCCU